rnacentral:rRNA from 1 species
CGUAGUUAGCCGUGGCUUCCUCUCUCGGUACUGUCAAAAUUCAUCCCGAGUAACAGCAGUUUACGACCCGAAGGCCUUCAUCCUGCACGCGGCAUCGCUCCGUCACGCUUUCGCGCAUUGCGGAAGAUUCUCG